CAACAAAAAGCCAAAAUAGAGGCAUUUAACUGUUAAUUAAAAAACUGAAAAUAUUUUCUUUGUUGA
rnacentral:tRNA from 1 species